CUAACUGAUAUCUGUCCUGUACUCUACGGUUUGUGGGUUUGAACUUCCGGUAUCAUCCUGUGAUGUUGUAACUGGAUAGUUUCGAAACAGUUGCCGUAUUUAAACUCCGUAUCGCCUCGUUUUGGCUUGACUUUGUGUUGAAACUGUGUGAGUGGAUUAACGGUUAGGUAAAUAUUAAUAACCUGACUGUAUUCAGGACUUGACGGCCAAACCGGGUAAUGUAAAUAUUUAAAGACAGACUCUUGCGCCCCCUACCGUUGACUUAUCGACAUAAAGGUAUAAAACUGCUCUGACUUUGAGUCACAGAAGUUAUACUGCCUUGGAAAUCUCUUUACAGAAGCUGCUGUUUUUAUUUUGAACUUUAUUUUUUCAGGAAAUAAACAAGCUCAGCAAUGAGGAACUUUUUGACCAAAGCGGGCCUGUUAGGCUCGGUCUCAGUUGCCCUGGGCUCCAUGUGGUGGUCACAGCAGAAGACAGAAUCAGACACUUGCUCUUCAGAUGCAGCCGCUGCUAGCCCUGCCUCUCUGUACGAACUCAAACUGGUCCAGGUCUUGUUCCGCCAUGGCGCUCGGACGCCUCUUAAGUCCAUGCCUGAUGUGUUAGAGGCUCAGUGGGAUCCUAUGCUCCUGGAGGCUCCGCCACACACACACAUCAACUACACAGUGACUGACCUUAAGGGCGGACCUCGUCCACCGGCUCCUGUAGAGGACAGUUAUCGGAGGAACACACUGAGUGUGAGUAGGUUAUCUUUACACGAGGAUAAGGA